CAUAGCUGGGUAGCUAAGUCGGGACGGGAUAAACGCUGAAAGCAUCUAAGCGUGAAGCCUCCUUCAAGAUGAGAUUUCCCAUAGCGUAAGCUAGUAAGACCCCUUGAAGACUACAAGGUUGAUAGGUCAGAGGUGUAAGUAUGGCAACAUAUUUAGCUGACUGAUACUAAUAGGUCGAGGGCUUGACCAAUAA
rnacentral:rRNA from 1 species